UACGUAGGUGGCAAGCGUUAUCCGGAAUUAUUGGGCGUAAAGAGCGCGCAGGUGGUUAAUUAAGUCUGAUGUGGAAGCCCACGGCUUAACCGUGGAGGGUCAUUGGAAACUGGUUGACUUGAGUGCAGAAGAGGGAAGUGGAAUUCCAUGUGUAGCGGUGAAAUGCGUAGAGAUAUGGAGGAACACCAGUGGCGAAGGCGGCUUCCUGGUCUGCAACUGACACUGAGGCGCGAAAGCGUGGGGAGCAAACAGG
rnacentral:rRNA from 1 species